AUCCGCUGGACGGAAGCACAAGCUCCUUGGCAAAACUUUUAGCGACAGAGUAACGCUGGCCGUAAAAUUAUUAGGACUGCCAGAGAAGUAUAUCAAGAGUAUUCACCGUUUGGAAACCGAUUUUUAUGCAGUCCCUACAACAGAACUUUUCGAUCCUCCAUCUAAAACUCCAUUAAUCAGUAAAAAGAAAAACAUCGUUAAAUCCACCAUUUCGGCAAAGAAGUCCACAAAGAAAUCAUCAUCAUCUGUCAUUAAGAAACCUGAAAAACCAUCCUCUACACAAGUAACAUCAAGCCCAAGGAAAUCAACACCACCAACAACGCCGGUCGUAACCAUCACUUCUUUAGCUCUCUCUCCCAUUUCAACCAGAUCAUUAUCACCAGCCAGGCCAUCUUCACCACCUCCAGCAAAGAAUUCUGAAAAUAUUUCCUCAUCCGACAGCAAGAGACCAGAAAAACCAUCCUCUGCACCAGUGACAGCUAUAACAUAUAAACCCUCAACACCACCUACAACGCCGGCCGUUAACACCAGUAUUUCAGCUCUCUCUCCUAUAUAUCUACCGGAUCCCUGCCACCUUUACCUCCUCCAGCAAAGAAGCCCAAGAAGUCCACCAUACCAUACACCCCAGAAAAGCCUUCUCAACCUGGACCAAUAUAUAUACCACCCCGAAACAGUUGCUGGCGACAAUAACAACCCAAGAUAUUCCAAAUUUAGAGCUACAUGUACGGACACCUGUUGAACGUGCAACUACCUUGCUUCGUCUUGGGGGAAUGCCUUUGUUUCCUCCAGCACGGCGAGACUGGACUGGGGAGGUUCAGGUGAAACUUCCUGGAGAAGUUCUCACCAAGGACUGGCCUCCCCAGGGCUGGAAGGAAAUGACGCCAGACACCAAGAAACUUAAUUGGGAAUUCAUAUCAUUUCAAUAUGAGCAGGUCUCCAAUCACCCUACUGUACCUAGUCGAGCAGGACUCCUAGACAAAUAUAAUAUGUUAGCUUUGCCAGGAACAUCCCCUCACAACAAAAUUAAAGAUGUCACCAGAACCGUUAUGAAGAACCGUUUUUAUCUGUACGAACAUUUAAGAUUGAUAGCCACCAAUGGGAUUAAGCCGGAUCUUUCCACUACUUUCAUGCUGGACAUGCUGGAGAAAGCAAGCGCUAGUCGCGAUACAUCUACAGACCACA
rnacentral:lncRNA from 1 species